rnacentral:rRNA from 1 species
UAGUCCACGCCCUAAACGAUGCACACUAGUUGUUGCUAUACUAGAUAUAGCAGUAAUGCAGUUAACACAUUAAGUGUGCCGCCUGGGGAGUACGGUCGCAAGAUUAAAACUCAAAGGAAUAGACGGGGACCCGCACAAGCGGUGGAGCAUGUGGUUUAAUUCGACGAUACGCGAAGAACCUUACCUGGCCUUGACAUAGAGAGAACUUACUAGAGAUAGUUUGGUGCUAGCUUGCUAGAACUUUCAUACAGGUGCUGCACGGCUGUCGUCAGCUCGUGUCGUGAGAUGUUGGGUUAAGUCCCGCAACGAGCGCAACCCUCGUGUUUAGUUACUAACAGUUCGGCUGAGGACUCUAGACAGACUGCCUGGGCAACCAGGAGGAAGGUGAGGACGACGUCAAGUCAUCAUGGGCCCUUACGGGCCAGGGGCUACGCACGUGCUACAUGGGGUAUAC